CGAGAAUUAAUUUCUAUAUUUGUUAUAUUUACUUUCUAAAUAUAUAUGUAUCAUAUAAAACGUAAUAUGUACCUACUUAAAAAAAAUUAUCAACUCUUGUGGAAGAAAACGUUGAAUUAUUGAUUCAGAAAAAGAGGGAGGGAGAGAGAAAGAGAGAUUAAUAGAGAGAAAGAAAAAAAAGGAAAAAAAAAGAGAGAGAAAGAAAUAUCGAAAGAUCGAUAAACACGGCUCGAAUAAUUUUUAUCCGAGAAUUAAUAUAAUGAUCGAUAACCCAGUUUAGAUUCCGGACACUUCACUACGAGAGUCAAGAGCGUUAUACUGCGCAGGACAGAACUACGUGGAGUCGAAUAGAUGUCAGGUCGAUAAGGUAUGGGUGGUAAGUGAAACUAAGCACAAGAAAAAAAGAAAAAAGAGAAGAAAAAGAAUAUUGUAAAUAACACAUUAAGAAGAUAUUUUCUCUUUAAUAACACCAUGACCUCGUCGUGUGUUCCUUUUUCUAGAUGCUCGUAUAUGUUAUGUACGUGUAACGGACGAGUCAAAGUACGCGCGGCGGAACAGGAACGACCGGAAUCGCAGCAGCUGAAUCGACCGACCCUCUUCUCUUGUCUCCAUCAUGGUAAAGCGCGAAGGUUCUUUAAAAAUGGCGUCCAUCGGUCUUUUUGCAUGCACGAGGACGGCUAAUAGAGUAGUCGCAGAAUUUUCCGUUAGACGUCACGCUGCACUUUGUCCCGAAUGAUCGAAAAGGAGGAAAAAAAAGGAUGACAAUGAGGAUAACGAUGAUCGAUAAUUAUGAACGACUAGACAAAAUCUGACAAAUGAAAAAAAAAAAAAAGAAAAGAGAAAAAAAUAUACAUAUACAUACACAUGUGAAGAUAGAAUAUAAAUAAUAUUACAAGAAAAUCUUACUAGGAU